rnacentral:rRNA from 1 species
UACGUAGGGGGCAAGCGUUGUCCGGAAUUAUUGGGCGUAAAGAGCGCGUAGGCGGUCCGGUAAGUCGGCUGUGAAAGUCAAGGGCUCAACCCUUGAAAGCCGGCCGAUACUGUCGGACUAGAGUCCGGAAGAGGCGAGUGGAAUUCCCGGUGUAGCGGUGAAAUGCGCAGAUAUCGGGAGGAACACCAAUGGCGAAGGCAGCUCGCUGGGAUGGUACUGACGCUGAGGCGCGAAAGCGUGGGGAGCAAACAGGG